AUUGAACGCUGGCGGCAUGCCUUACACAUGCAAGUCGAACGGUAACAGGUUAAGCUGACGAGUGGCGAGCGGGUGAGUAAUGUAUCGGAACGUGCCCAGUCGUGGGGGAUAACUGCUCGAAAGAGCAGCUAAUACCGCAUACGACCUGAGGGUGAAAGCGGGGGAUCGCAAGACCUCGCGCGAUUGGAGCGGCCGAUAUCAGAUUAGGUAGUUGGUGAGGUAAAGGCUCACCAAGCCGACGAUCUGUAGCUGGUCUGAGAGGACGACCAGCCACACUGGGACUGAGACACGGCCCAGACUCCUACGGGAGGCAGCAGUGGGGAAUUUUGGACAAUGGGCGCAAGCCUGAUCCAGCCAUGCUGCGUGCGGGAAGAAGGCCUUCGGGUUGUAAACCGCUUUUGUCAGGGAAGAAAAGGUUCUGGCUAAUACCUGGGACUCAUGACGGUACCUGAAGAAUAAGCACCGGCUAACUACGUG
rnacentral:rRNA from 1 species